rnacentral:rRNA from 1 species
UACGGAGGGUGCAAGCGUUGUUCGGAAUUAUUGGGCGUAAAGCGCGCGCAGGCGGCUGGAUAAGUCCAGGGGUGAAAUGCCGGGGCUCAACUCCGUGCGUGCCCCGGAUACUGUCUGGCUGGAGACACGUAGAGGCAAGCGGAAUUUCGGGUGUAGCGGUGGAAUGCGUUGAUAUUAUGGGGAACACCAAAAGCGAAGGCAGCAGACUGGAGCACUCCUGACACUGAAACAUGAAAGCGUGGGUAGCGAAUGGG